GUGCACCAGUCGCGAAUCCUCCGCAAUGCGGGAAACCGCGACGGGGUCACCCCGAGUGCCGCCCUAACGGGUGGCUGUGGCCCGGUGUAAACAGCCGGGCUUAGAAAGGGAGGGCAAGGCUGGUGCCAGCCGCCGCGGUAAACCAGCUCCUCGAGUGGUCGGGGUGAUUAUUGGGCCUAAAGCGUCCGUAGCCGGCCCCGUAAGUCCUCGGUUAAAUCCUACGGCCUAAACCGUGGGACUGCCGAGGAUACUGCGGGGCUUGGGGGCGGGAGAGGCCGGGGGUACUCCCGGGGUAGGGGU
rnacentral:rRNA from 1 species